rnacentral:rRNA from 2 species
CGAACUCUGGUAUUGAUUGGUGCUUGCAUCAUGAUUUACAUUUGAGUGAGUGGCGAACUGGUGAGUAACACGUGGGAAACCUGCCCAGAAGCGGGGGAUAACACCUGGAAACAGAUGCUAAUACCGCAUAACAACUUGGACCGCAUGGUCCGAGCUUGAAAGAUGGCUUCGGCUAUCACUUUUGGAUGGUCCCGCGGCGUAUUAGCUAGAUGGUGGGGUAACGGCUCACCAUGGCAAUGAUACGUAGCCGACCUGAGAGGGUAAUCGGCCACAUUGGGACUGAGACACGGCCCAAACUCCUACGGGAGGCAGCAGUAGGGAAUCUUCCACAAUGGACGAAAGUCUGAUGGAGCAACGCCGCGUGAGUGAAGAAGGGUUUCGGCUCGUAAAACUCUGUUGUUAAAGAAGAACAUAUCUGAGAGUAACUGUUCAGGUAUUGACGGUAUUUAACCAGAAAGCCACGGCUAACUACGUGCCAGCAGCCGCGGUAAUACGUAGGUGGCAAGCGUUGUCCGGAUUUAUUGGGCGUAAAGCGAGCGCAGGCGGUUUUUUAAGUCUGAUGUGAAAGCCUUCGGCUCAACCGAAGAAGUGCAUCGGAAACUGGGAAACUUGAGUGCAGAAGAGGACAGUGGAACUCCAUGUGUAGCGGUGAAAUGCGUAGAUAUAUGGAAGAACACCAGUGGCGAAGGCGGCUGUCUGGUCUGUAACUGACGCUGAGGCUCGAAAGUAUGGGUAGCAAACAGGAUUAGAUACCCUGGUAGUCCAUACCGUAAACGAUGAAUGCUAAGUGUUGGAGGGUUUCCGCCCUUCAGUGCUGCAGCUAACGCAUUAAGCAUUCCGCCUGGGGAGUACGGCCGCAAGGCUGAAACUCAAAGGAAUUGACGGGGGCCCGCACAAGCGGUGGAGCAUGUGGUUUAAUUCGAAGCUACGCGAAGAACCUUACCAGGUCUUGACAUACUAUGCAAAUCUAAGAGAUUAGACGUUCCCUUCGGGGACAUGGAUACAGGUGGUGCAUGGUUGUCGUCAGCUCGUGUCGUGAGAUGUUGGGUUAAGUCCCGCAACGAGCGCAACCCUUAUUAUCAGUUGCCAGCAUUAAGUUGGGCACUCUGGUGAGACUGCCGGUGACAAACCGGAGGAAGGUGGGGAUGACGUCAAAUCAUCAUGCCCCUUAUGACCUGGGCUACACACGUGCUACAAUGGAUGGUACAACGAGUUGCGAACUCGCGAGAGUAAGCUAAUCUCUUAAAGCCAUUCUCAGUUCGGAUUGUAGGCUGCAACUCGCCUACAUGAAGUCGGAAUCGCUAGUAAUCGCGGAUCAGCAUGCCGCGGUGAAUACGUUCCCGGGCCUUGUACACACCGCCCGUCACACCAUGAGAGUUUGUAACACCCAAAGUCGGUGGGGUAACCUUUUAGAACCAGC